rnacentral:lncRNA from 1 species
CUCAGAGAUGAUGGCGGAGGCAAGAGGACCUGUUAUUUCGUGUAGAUGCAGCAAAACCGAAGACUGUCAGGGUAUUUGCGCCGUGUGCCCCAACUAUAGCUGCAUUAAUAACCUUUGUACUUGCCUUUCAAACGCACCUCCAUUUCCAUAGUCUUAGAAUCUACACACUCCAACAGUUGAAUGAAAUGGUGGGAUUUUUUUGUGUAAUUUGAAAUAAAUUAUCAUGCAAUGGAUCUAAUAAGAAAAAAUAUUGUAAUUGUUGUAAUUUUAAUUUUCUUUUUACCCUUCUCUGCGCCUCCCCUCCCCCUUUCUAGUAGCGAAAAGUAUGUUACAUUUCAAAUAUAUAAAAAGAGUUACAAUCUUGUUUUAAAACUAAAAGAAAUAACAGUAAGAACAAAAGAUAGGAGAAAAAUUAAGACACAAAAUGAGAUGAUAAUUCUUCUUUCUACUUGUAUCUCAUAAGCUUGUAUAUGGCUUCAAUCUAUAGGGCUUCAACAAUGAUAGGCUAAAAAUAAUAUAAAUAGGAAUUUCAAAACUCGCAAUAACUUGAAUGGGUAUUUCAUAAGUUUCAAAUUCCACCGUAUUCUUUUGGUGGGGACACUUUGUUAAUUUAUUAACAACACUAUGCACUAGAUGUGUAUCAAAUGGAAACGUGCUCUGUUAAAACUUUAUUAGAAAAAAUUGCAUAAGCACCUAUUAUAAGCUAAAACAUAAAAGACAUUUCAUGGGAAAACUUAGCUGGACAAUACCUUGGGUAAAGGAAAGAGUAAACAUGUUUUAGACUCUCCCUAAUUUUAAAAAUAUUGAAACAUGGUACAAAUUUUGAAACAAUUUUUAGUUGCUAAAUACUUCGUCAAGGAGAACCAUACUAUGAAGACAUGCCUUUUUAAUUACAAUGAUAACCAUUGAGUUUCAUUGUAUACUCUAGGUUCAUUUGCCAAUAACUCUUUUGCACAUCAUAAUAUAGGUGGGGGCGAAUAAAACUUUAAAUUAAGCGACAUUAAUACAUGCAUUAAAGCCUCCAUUAAUUUCUUAGAAGUUUAUUUUUAUGUCCACAAUCAACAUUUUUCUUAUGCGGACAUGAGACCUUGCUAUUGCAUAUGACUUAAGGAAAACUGUAUAUUAAAUUUAGCCUCCUGGCUUUGUAGAUUUCUACAGCCUAUCUCUCUUUCUUACUCCGUUGCAAGGAUGUUCAUGUAGACCACCUGAUAGAUAGUUGUAUGGUUUCUUUAUUUUUAUUGAAACACAUAUCGAGUCUUUCUUGACAUCACUGUGACUUUAAUAGUCAUUACCAAUAUGGUUUGACUCUUGCAGGUUUUGAGUACAUUGGCGUGUCAUUCGGCCCAAUUAAAGGCUAUUAUUGUUGUUUCAAUUUGAGAUCGCUCUCUUCUAGUUUUUCUUCUUCUUUUCUCAUUUUGGUUUCCUACCCUUUAUAUGCUUGUUGUAGUAUUUUUCCUUAAGUUAAUUUUGGAAAUACAUAGAAUCUAUUGAAUGGAGUGCCAUUAAUCUUAUCAACAUUAUAUCUCAUCAUCUUCUUGCUUGUUUUUAGGAUCUUCAUGGCCAUGGUUAGACAAGAGUUUAUCUAUCUUGUAACACUUAUUUUGGGACAUGCAAUGUGCACAUUUUCUAUAAGUCCUACACUUUUACCUGUUGUUUCAAUGAGGCCAUCUUUAGGUAUUUCCCCCUCUAUUUAUUUCAUUAGUCAAAUUGGAUGUACUUUUAUGAACUUAAAUCAAACAAUCACUUUUUGCGUUUUUGUAACCUCUCUUUUCAGGUCUGAUAACAUCGAUCAAGAAGUUGAGCUCCUCCAUGGAUAGCAUUGGUUGUUUGUUUCCAUUUAUUCACAAUCUCUUGCAACAAAUUUUGACAUUUUAACUGUAGUGAUAGUUUUAUUAGCCUUGUAGCGAGCCCAAGAUACCAACUGCUCCCACCCAUGAUUUUGAAUUUUAAAUACUUUAUUUAAAUGAUUUUGAUGUUUAGAAAUUUAAAAAAUAAACUAAUUUUCUUUUAGGUGAGAAUUAACCAAAAAUUGGUAUUGCCUAUCCAUGAACCUCUUACCUCAAGUUGGUCUGGACUGUGAGGUCGAAAGAUAGGUAGUUGUUGCCAACUCAUUAGUUUAGUGGAAGAUCGAGAGAUCCUACUAGGUUAGCGACUAAUUGAUUGAGUAGAACCAAAAAUAGGAUUUAGUUAUGACCACUGAAGCGAGCUAAUCACUCAUGCUUAGAUUUUAUUGAAUCAAAUAUUACUUCUCCAUCUUUUUUAUUUUAUGCAAGCUUAUUUCUUUUCUUAUAAAAACAACUAUUUUUCACUUUAUGAUCAUCGUACUAUAAUUUAUUUAAGUUACUAAUUAGAUCUAUUUGCGUUUAGGUUAAUAUUAAUUUAGUACUUGUCUCCCUUGGGUACGAUCCUCGAGUACUCACCUACUUCGUUGUAAAACUAUAUUACAACCUGACUCGUAUACUUGAGGACACUGCCUCAAUUCAAUAUAUACUUUUAGCAAUAUUCACACUCUAGAUUCUAGUACGUCCGAAGGCGGUCACUUUCCAAAGUGGCGCGUAGUUUAUCUGCAAAUCAGUGGUGGCUCGUCUACAAUCCGGAGUGAUAUGUUAGACGAGUUCUGGGGAAUUCAUACGUGAGGUGUGUAGCGGAGUUGGGUAGGACUUUUCUGUUAAUUUGAAACUUCAAUGCAUUCAUAAGCACGUGCAUAUAAAAUUGUGAAUACCAAUAUAGUGAAGUGAAGCGUUUUAUGUGAAAAACAGUUAAUCUGAGGUGCUUUGUGGUUGUCUUUAAUCUCAGGAUUGCUAAUUCAUGUGCCUUAUUGGUUUGUUGUUUUAUUUUGAUUUUCUUGUGACUGAACUCACAUUGAGCUUCAUAGCUCACCGCCCUUUAGUUCCCAUCCUUAUAGAUAACCCACCAGGUUGGGAUGCGACAUAUGAAGGGUCGAAAAAGUUUUAAUGUUAUGAAAGUAUUGUUAUGCUUAUUUUAAAAUUUAUGUUAUUUCGGAACUGUACUCUAUUAUUUAUUUUCUAGCAUUGGAUUCAUAUUUAGGUUUUGGUUUUAUAUUGCAAGCAUGACAUAUAAAUUGUUGUUUUUAAGAUGAUGAAAUAAGGAUUUCAAUUAAAUAUGCAUGAAAUAUAGAUGUUAGUAAAACUCAUGAAAAGCCAUUUUUCCGCUGAAAGGUCAUAAUUAAAUUUUGUCUAAUAACUACAAUAUAACUAUGUUUCCAAUAGUUAUCACAUUUUACAAGAAAAAUAUUAGUUUAAUUGUAUUUUAUAUACCCAUGAUUUGUUUUCUAAAAAUAGACACAGUCUUUGUAAGGAUAAAAAAAUAUUUUAAUGUGCUAUUUAAAAUCUUCGAUUGCACUAGGCCAUCACGGUGGCCGAUGUAAUCUCCCGAACUCGGGCCUACCGUCUAGGCCAAUUUGGGGAGGUUACAAUUUCAAUGCCAUAAAGUACUAAAACCAUAUUUUCAAUCAUCUUCAGCAUUGAUUAUUUCAUAUUGAUAUGAGUUGAAUUAAAAUAUUUAAUUUGAACUUAUAAAUUUAUCAUAUUUAAGGGGAAAAAAAGUGGUUUUACUUCAAACAAAAAGAAGAGAUAAAUUGUUACCAACUAAAUUGAUGAACAAGAAUUUGAUAUGAUAUAUACGUGAAUACAAUAAAAAUACAUUAAUUGCGCUACAAUUGUGUAUAAUAUCCUUUUUAUUUAGUUAUAUUGUGUUUGUACAAAAUUUGUAAAGAUAAAAUACUAUGCAUCAAAUAUGUUCAAUUCUAAUUCUAAUUCUAAUUCUAAUUCUAAUUCCAGUUCCAAUUUGAGUUUGAACUUGAUUUGGAACACAAAAAUUGAGCAUGAUGCCAAGUAUGAGAAUCCAACUCAAGUCUUAUCAAAUAAACAAGCCUAAAUAAAUCUAGUAAAGCUAAUUAAAGCAGUUUAAUCUUUAUCUCGUAUCAAGUUUAUAUUUUAAAAGUUAAACUCAAUGAAGUUAUAUUGGAGCAUUCAAUUCUCUAGGUUUCUUUGGAGAUUGAGAUUGAAUUUCUUGGCUCAGUUCAACCCCAUUAAAUAACUUUAAAUUUUUUAUUUUGAUACAAUAGUUAAUAUUGUUUCCAAACUCAUAUAACUGGUUGUGUAGGAAGGGGUCAGGUUUUUUUGUGUGCUUUCUCUCACUACUAUCUCCAAAAUUUUAAUGCUUUUAGUAUUUUAAUAUUUGAAAAUUAUUAAAAAAUUUGUCUAGCAAGAAAAAUAUAAUUUAAUCUUUUCUUCUCCUAGACCACAAAAAAAAAAUUGGAACAUAUUUCCCAUUUGUUUCUAAACGGUUGGACUAAUAAUCAACUUAUUGGCAUCAUGCAUUCCAGAUUUGGUAACAUUAAUUUCCAUGACUACACUUAGAACAAAAUAAUGAUAAUUAGUAAACAAAAUCCCCAUCAAUCUUCUCAAGGAUGUUUUGCUGAUAUACUUUCCUUUUAGACAUAGUUUCAUAAGGAAAAAAAUAAAAACGUAAUAAUCUCAAAGAAUCCAAAGAAAUUAGUAUUCCUCCAUGCAACACAAAAUAAGAUACUAUAUAUAUUAAAUCCAUAAGCUAUAAAUUUCCACCAACAUAGUUAAUUAGAUAUAAAGAGAUGGCAAAGUUUUCAUUCAAUUUGUUUAUAUUUGCUGUCAUCUUAAUCUUUGCAACUCGUUAGUUUCUUCCUAUGCAGCUCUUUUCUUUCCUUUGGUAUAAAUAUUAUGUUUUUGUUUAAUUUAACACAAGGGAAUUUUUGUUGCAGACUCAGAGAUGAUGGCGGAGGCAAGAGGACCUGUUAUUUCGUGUAGAUGCAGCAAAACCGAAGACUGUCAGGGUAUUUGCGCCGUGUGCCCCAACUAUAGCUGCAUUAAAAACAUUUGUACUUGCCUUUCAAACGCACCUCCAUUUCCAUAGUCUUAGAAUCUACACACUCCAACAGUUGAAUGAAAUGGUGGGAUUUUUUUGUGUAAUUUGAAAUAAAUUAUCAUGCAAUGGAUCUAAUAAGAAAAAAUAUUGUAAUUGUUGUAAUUUUAAUUUUCUUUUUACCCGUCUCUGCCCCUCCCCCCCUUUCCAGUAGCGAAAAGCAUGUUACAUUUAAAAUCUAUAAAAAGAGUUACAAUCUUGUUUUAAAACUAAAAGAAAUAACAGUAAGAACAAAAGAUAGGAGAAAAAUUAAGACACAAAAUGAUAUGAUAAUUCUUCUUUCUACUUGUAUCUCAUAAGCUUGUAUAUGGCUUCAAUCUAUAGGGCUUCAACAAUGAUAGGCUAAAAAUAAUAUAAAUAGGAAUAUCAAAACUCGCAAUAACUUGAAUGGGUAUUUCAUAAGUUGCAAAUUCCACCGUAUUCUUUUGGUGGGGACACUUUGUUAAUUUAUUAACAACACUCUGCACUAGAUGUGUAUCAAAUGGAAACGUGCUCUGUUAAAACUUUAUUAGAAAAAAUUGCAUAAGCACCUAUUAUAAGCUAAAACAUAAAAGACAUUUCAUGGGAAAACUUAGCUGGACAAUACCUUGGGUAAAGGAAAGAGUAAACAUGUUUUAGACUCCCCCUAAUUUUAAAAAUAUUGAAACAUGGUACAAAUUUUGAAACAAUUUUUUGUUGCUAAAUACUUCGUCAAAGAGAAUCAUACUAUGAAGACAUGCCUUUUUAAUUACAAUGAUAACCAUUGAGUUUCAUUGUAUACUCUAGGUUCAUUUGCCAAUAGCUCUUUUGCACAACAUAAUAUAGGUGGGGGCGAAUCAAACUUUAAAUUAAGCGACAUUAAUACAUGCAUUAAAGCCUCCAUUAAUUUCUUAUAAGUUUAUUUUUAUAUCCACAAUCAACAUUUUUCUUAUGCGGACAUGAUACCUUGCUAUUGCAUAUCACUUAAGGAAAACUGUAUAUUAAAUUUAGCCUCAUGGCUUUGGAGAUUUCUACAUCCUAUCUCUCUUUCUUACUCCGUUGCAAGGAUGUUCAUGUAGACCACCUGAUAGAUAGUUGUAUGGUUUCUUUAUUCUUAUUGAAACACAUAUCGAGUCUUUCUUGACAUCACUGUGACUUUAAUAGUCAUUACCAAUAUGGUUUGACUCUUGCAGGUUUCGAGUACAGUGGCGUGUCAUUCGGCCCAAUUAAAGGCUAUUAUUGUUGUUUCAAUUUGAGAUCGCUCUCUUCUAGUUUUUCUUCUUCUUUUCUCAUUUUGGUUUCCUACCCUUUAUAUGCUUGUUGUAGUAUUUUUCCUUAAGUUAAUUUUGGAAAUACAUAGAAUCUAUUGAAUGGAGUGCCAUUAAUCUUAUCAACAUUAUAUCUCAUCAUCUUCUUGCUUGUUUUUAGGAUCUUUAUGGCCAUGGUUAGACAAGAGUUUAUCUAUCUUGUAACACUUAUUUUGGGACAUGCAAUGUGCACAAUUUCUAUAAGUCCUGCUCUUUUACCUGUUGUGUCAAUGAGGCCAUCUUUAGGUAUUUCCCCCUCUAUUUUGUUUCAUUAGUUAAAAUCAACCAAUCACUUUUUGUGUUUUUGUAACCUCUCUUUUCAGGUCUGAUAACAUCGAUCAUGAAGUUGAGCUCCUCCGUGGAUAGCCUUGGUUGUUUGUUUCCAUUUUUUCACAAUCUCUUGCAACAAAUUUUGAGAUUUUAAUUGUAUUGAUAGUUUUAUUAGCCUUGUAGCGAGCCCAAGAUACCAACUGCUCCCACCCAUGAUUUUAAAUUUUAAAUACUUUAUUUAAAUGAUUCUGAUGUUUAGAAAUUUAAAAAAUAAACUAAUUUUCUUCUAAAUUUUAUUACUUAGCGAUCCGCUGCUUGGGAGCGGAAGAACUUAAACCCUAGGCCAUACAAGACUAAGAAGUCAUCUAGGUGAGAAUUAACCCAAAAUUGGUAUUGCCUAUCCAUGAACCUCUUACCUCAAGUUGGUCUGGACUGUGAGGUCGAAAGAUAAGUACUUGUUGCCAACUCAUUAGUUUAGUGGAAGAUCGAGAGAUUCUACUAGGUUAGCGGCUAAUUGAUUGAGUAGAACCAGAAAUAGGAUUUAGUUAUGACCACAAAAGCGAGCUAAUCACUCAUGCUUAGAUUUUAUUGAAUCACAUAUUAGUUCUCCAUCUUUUUUAUUUUAUGCAAGUUUAUUUCUUUUCUUAUAAAAACAAUUGUUUUUCACUUUAUGAUCAUCGUACUAUAAUUUAUUUAAGUUACUAAUUAGAUCUAUUUUCGUUUAGGUUAAUAUUAAUUUAUUACUUGUCUGCCUUGGGUACGAUCCUCGAGUACUCACCUACUUCGUUGUAAAACUAUAUUACAACCUGACUCGUAUACUUGAGGAUACCGCCUCAAUUCAAUAUAUACUUUUAGCAAUAUUCACACUCUGGAUUCUAGUACCUCCGAAGGCGGUCACUUUCCAAAGUGGCGCGUAGUUUAUCUGCAAAUCAGUGGUGGCUCGUCUACAAUCCGGAGUGAUAUGUUAGACGAGUUCUGGGGAAUUCGUACGUGAGGUGUGUAGCGGAUUUGGGUAGGACUUUUCUGUUAAUUUGAAACUUCAAUGCAUUCAUAAGCACGUGCAUAUAAAAUUGUGAAUACCAAUAUAGUGAAGUGAAGCGUUUUAUGUGAAAAACCGUUAAUCUGAGGUGCCUUGUGGUUGUCUUUAAUCUCAGGAUUGCUAAUUCAUGUGCCUUAUUGGUUUGUUGUUUUAUUCUGAUUUUCUUGUGACUGAACUCACAUUGAGCUUCAUAGCUCACUGCCCUUUAGUUCCCAUCCUUGUAGAUAACCCACCAGGUUGGGAUGCGACAUAUGGAGGGCUCGAAAAAGUUUUAAUGUUAUGAAAGUAUUGUUAUGCUUAUUUUAAAAUUUAUGUUAUUUCGGAACUGUACUGUAUUAUUUAUUUUCUGGCAUUGGAUUCAUAUUUAGGUUUUGGUUUUAUAUUGCAAGCAUGACAUAUAAAUUUUUGUUUUUAAGAUGAUGAAAUAUGGAUUUCAAUUAAAUAUGCAUGAAAUAUAGAUGUUAGUAAAACUCAGGAAAAGCCAUUUUUCCGCUGAAAGGUCAUAAUUAAAUUUUGUCUAAUAACUACAAUAAAACUAAGUUCACAAUAGUUAUCACCUUUUACAAGAAAAAUAUUAGUUUAAUUGUAUUUUAUAUACCCAUGAUUUGUUUUCUACAAAUAGACAGAGUCUUUGUAAAGAUAAAAAAUGUUUUAAUGUGACUAUUUAAAAUGUUCGAUUUCUCUAGGCCAUCAUGGUGGCCGAUGUAAUCUCCCGACCUCGGGCCUACCGUCUAGGCCAAUUUGGGGAGGUUACAAUUUCAAUGCCAUAAAGUACUAAAACCAUAUUUUCAAUCAUCUUCAGCAUAAAUUAUUUCAUAUUGAUAUGAGUUGAAUUAAAAUAUUUAAUUUGAACUUAUAAAUUUGCCAUAUUUAAGGGGAAAAAAAGUUGUUUUACUUCAAACAAAAAGAAGAGAUAAAUUGUUACCAACUAAAUUGAUGAACAAGAAUUUGAUAUGAUAUAUACGUGAAUACAAUAAAAAUACAUUAAUUGCGCUACAAUUGUGUAUAAUAUCCUUUUUAUUUAGUUAUAUUGUGUUUGUACAAAAUUUGUAAAGAUAAAAUACUAUGCAUCAAAUAUGUUCAAUUCUAAUUCUAAUUCUAAUUCUAAUUCUAAUUCCAGUUCCAAUUUGAGUUUGAACUUGAUUUGGAACACAAAAAUUGAGCAUGAUGCCAAGUAUGAGAAUCCAACUCAAGUCUUAUCAAAUAAACAAGCCUAAAUAAAUCUAGUAAAGCUAACUAAAGCAGUUUAAUCUUUAUCUCGUAUCAAGUUUAUAUUUUAAAAGUUAAACUCAAUGAAGUUAUAUUGGAGCAUUCAAUUCUCUAGGUUUCUAUGGAGAUUGAGAUUGAAUUUCUUGGCUCAGUUCAACCCCAUUAAAUAACUUUAAAUUUUUUAUUUUGAUACAAUAGUUAAUAUUGUUUCCAAACUCAUAUAACUGGUUGUGUAGGAAGGGGUCAGGUUAUUUGUGUGCUUUCUCUCACUACUAUCUCCAAAAUUUUAAUGCUUUUAGUAUUUUAAUAUUUGAAAAUUAUUAAAAAAUUUGUCUAGCAAGAAAAAUAUAAUUUAAUCUUUUCUUCUCCUAGACCACAAAAAAAAUUGGAACAUAUUUCCCAUUUGUUUCUAAACGGUUGGACUAAUAAUCAACUUAUUGGCAUCAUGCAUUCCAGAUUUGGUAACAUUAAUUUCCAUGACUACACUUAGAACAAAAUAAUGAUAAUUAGUAAACAAAAUCCCCAUCAAUCUUCUCAAGGAUGUUUUGCUAAUAUACUUUCCUUUUAGACAUAGUUUCAUAAGGAAAAAAAUAAAAACGUAAUAAUCUCAAAGAAUCCAAAGAAAUUAGUAUUCCUCCAUGCAACACAAAAUAAGAUACUAUAUAUAUUAAAUCCAUAAGCUAUAAAUUUCCACCAACAUAGUUAAUUAGAUAUAAAGAGAUGGCAAAGUUUUCAUUCAAUUUGUUUAUAUUUGCUGUCAUCUUAAUCUUUGCAACUCGUUAGUUUCUUCCUAUGCAGCUCUUUUCUUUCCUUUGGUAUAAAUAUUAUGUUUUUGUUUAAUUUAACACAAGGGAAUUUUUGUUGCAGACUCAGAGAUGAUGGCGGAGGCAAGAGGACCUGUUAUUUCGUGUAGAUGCAGCAAAACCGAAGACUGUCAGGGUAUUUGCGCCGUGUGCCCAAACUAUAGCUGCAUUAAAAACAUUUGUACUUGCCUUUCAAACGCACCUCCAUUUCCAUAGUCUUAGAAUCUACACACUCCAACAGUUGAAUGAAAUGGUGGGAUUUUUUUUGUGUAAUUUGAAAUAAAUUAUCAUGCAAUGGAUCUAAUAAGAAAAAAUAUUGUAAUUAGGGUAAUUUUAAUUUUCUUUUUACCCGUCUCUGCCCCUCCCCCCCUUUCCAGUAGCGAAAAGCAUGUUACAUUUAAAAUCUAUAAAAAGAGUUACAAUCUUGUUUUAA